UGCCCAGCAACUUCUAUCCCUACCUCCUCGUGGUACUGGCCGGGGUACGAGUAACCUUGGGGAAGAUCGGGUAACCAACCCCCGGUGGGAACUUUGGUCGUAUGCUGACAGGGAAGG
rfam:Aedes aegypti strain Liverpool supercont1.266 genomic scaffold, whole genome shotgun sequence.